UACGUAGGGUGCAAGCGUUAAUCGGAAUUACUGGGCGUAAAGCGUGCGCAGGCGGCUAUGCAAGACAGAUGUGAAAUCCCCGGGCUCAACCUGGGAACUGCAUUUGUGACUGCAUGGCUAGAGUACGGUAGAGGGGAUGGAAUUCCGGCGUGUAGCAGUGAAAUGCGUAGAUAUGCGGAGGAACACCGAUGGCGAGGCAAUCCCCUGGACCUGUGACUGACGCUC
rnacentral:rRNA from 1 species